CCAGACUCCUACGGGAGGCAGCAGUGAGGAAUAUUGGUCAAUGGGCGAGAGCCUGAACCAGCCAAGUCGCGUGAGGGAAGACGGUCCUAUGGAUUGUAAACCUCUUUUGCCGGGGAGCAAAAAGCGGUACGCGUACCGCAUCGAGAGUACCCGGAGAAAAAGCAUCGGCUAACUCCGUGCCAGCAGCCGCGGUAAUACGUAGGGGGCAAGCGUUAUCCGGAUUUACUGGGUGUAAAGGGAGCGUAGACGGCAGUGCAAGUCUGAAGUGAAAGCCCCGGGCUUAACCCGGGAAUUGCUUUGGAAACUGUACGGCUGGAGUGCUGGAGAGGUAAGCGGAAUUCCUAGUGUAGCGGUGAAAUGCGUAGAUAUUAGGAGGAACACCAGUGGCGAAGGCGGCUUACUGGACAGUAACUGACGUUGAGGCUCGAAAGCGUGGGGAGCAAACAGGAUUAGAUACCCGAGUAC
rnacentral:rRNA from 1 species